rnacentral:rRNA from 1 species
UACGUAGGGGGCUAGCGUUGUCCGGAUUCAUUGGGCGUAAAGCGCGCGUAGGCGGCUCGGAAAGUCGGUCGUGAAAUGCCGGGGCUCAACCCCGGGACUGCGUCCGAUACUCCCGAGCUGGAGGCAGGUAGGGGAGAUCGGAAUUCCUGGUGUAGCGGUGAAAUGCGCAGAUAUCAGGAGGAACACCGGUGGCGAAGGCGGAUCUCUGGGCCUUGCCUGACGCUGAGGCGCGAAAGCUAGGGGAGCGAACAGG